UACGGGGUGGGCAAGCGUUGUUCGGAAUUACUGGGCGUAAAGAGCUCGUAGGCGGUUUGUCGCGUCUGCUGUGAAAACCUAAGGCUCAACCUUGGGCUUGCAGUGGGUACGGGCAGACUAGAGUGCGGUAGGGGUGACUGGAAUUCCUGGUGUAGCGGUGGAAUGCGCAGAUAUCAGGAGGAACACCGAUGGCGAAGGCAGGUCACUGGGCCGCAACUGACGCUGAGGAGCGAAAGCAUGGGGAGCGAACAGG
rnacentral:rRNA from 1 species